rnacentral:rRNA from 1 species
AGUGAACGCUGGCGGUAGGCCUAACACAUGCAAGUCGAACGGCAGCACAGAGGAGCUUGCUCCUUGGGUGGCGAGUGGCGGACGGGUGAGGAAUACAUCGGAAUCUACUCUGUCGUGGGGGAUAACGUAGGGAAACUUACGCUAAUACCGCAUACGACCUACGGGUGAAAGCAGGGGAUCUUCGGACCUUGCGCGAUUGAAUGAGCCGAUGACGGAUUAGCUAGUUGGCGGGGUAAAGGCCCACCAAGGCGACGAUCCGUAGCUGGUCUGAGAGGAUGAUCAGCCACACUGGAACUGAGACACGGUCCAGACUCCUACGGGAGGCAGCAGUGGGGAAUAUUGGACAAUGGGCGCAAGCCUGAUCCAGCCAUACCGCGCGGGUGAAGAAGGCCUUCGGGUUGUAAAGCCCUUUUGCUGGGAAAGAAAUCCAUCUGGUUAAUACCCGGGUGGGAUGACGGUACCCAGAGAAUAAGCACCGGCUAACUUCGUGCCAGCCGCCGCCGUAA